rnacentral:tRNA from 1 species
GGAUAGCUCAGUUGGUUAGAGCAUAAUGCUGAUAACGCCAAGGUUGCAGGUCCGAUCCCUGUAAGGGACA